GACUUAUCUACUAUUUCCAAGAUUCUAGGCACCUGUGAAUACAAAGACAGAGAAAUAAUCCCUGCCCUAAAGGAGCUGACAUUCUGUAUGGGUAUUUACCUAAGGAGAUCAACUUCAUGUAGAAGACAGUGCUUGAACUGAACUCUGAAGGAAUCUAGAAAUUCUGUGUAACAGUAGAGUUGAGAAGGCAGUGCCUUACAGGCGUGAGGCAUAGCCUGUUCAGGAGCCCAGAGAAGAGGCAGCAAGAGGAAUAUCACAAUAUCACAUUUCAGGAGAGCAAGUGUCUAGGCUUCUCAGCAUCCAGCCACCUAGAAGCCUCUGGUGCCUCGGGAAGCAAGAAGUGAUCUUUGGGAGCCAGCCCAGCAGUAGCUGAGACUAGAACACAGUCAUACUGCUUCUGGAAGUGAACUUGGUGGGACAAAUGUCAUUUUGGAACUGAGCUAAGAGAGGGAUGGAAGAGAGUUUGCUCCUUCCUUGCCUCUGGGGGUCGGGGAGAAGCAUUUGUACUUUUGUUUUUGCUGUAUCUUAGAAGUAAGUAUCCCUUUACAAAAAUUGAAGUUGGGUCGUUAAAUAGAAUGGGAGCACUAGUUACUAAUUACUAGUAUCUAACAAUGGGGCAACUGCUGGCAGGCUCAGACUGAUGGCAGGAAAGAAGAGAUGCCCACUGCCUCUUCAGAUGCCCUAGAAACCUCAAGGGGAAUGUGAGUGGCUCUGGGAAAAUGGGCCAAAGAGUUCUCACUGCAUUAGUGAUGAUACAGAUCUGUAGGAAGCAUUUUUUCUUAUUUCUGUUGUUUAUCACUGUACUUUUUGCCACAGUGGAAUGGAGGCUCUUUGAGGGAAGAUUCAGGCCAUUCUUGUCUCCCUAAAUGCAGCUUCUGACAUAGGGCCUUGUGUAUGGUAGAUGCCUAAUAAAUGUCUGUUGAGUUGAAUUGAAUUUUUCAAAAAAUAUGUGAUUCCAUUAGCCUUGAAAGCUACCUGGUGCCCAGCUGUCUAGCUAUUAUCGGAUUCUUUAUGGGAAAGAAAUGGAUCCAGGAAUUGUGGAGAUUCUAUUUUGAAGGGCAUUUUACAUGUUUUAAAUAAAACUCAAAUUCUGAGUAGUGAGCCUUAAAGAGUUGAAAAGUAAAGUGAACCAAAACAAUUCAUUUAAAAAGAACUCAUUCCAAAAUUAGUUUUCUUUGCAGAAAGAGUAUGGGGAAAAGAAGCAAGCUCCAUGCCAGUGUUAGCAAAUAAGGAAAAAGUGGGACCUCGGAAUUGCAAGGCAUGACAUUUCUUUCCUCACUGUUCCAUCUAUUUUUGUUCCCAUCAACCACUCCAGUAUUAUAAUAUAAGCAGACCUCAGAGAUAUUGCCAGUUUGCUUCCAGAUCACUGCAAUAAAGUGAAGUCACACAA